CAGUAGCCGCGGUAAUACGAAGGGGGCUAGCGUUGUUCGGAAUUACUGGGCGUAAGGCGCACGUAGGCGGAUCGAUCAGUCAGGGGUGAAAUCCCAGGGCUCAACCCUGGAACUGCCUUUGAUACUGUCGAUCUGGAGUAUGGAAGAGGUGAGUGGAAUUCCGAGUGUAGAGGUGAAAUUCGUAGAUAUUCGGAGGAACACCAGUGGCGAAGGCGGCUCACUGGUCCAUUACUGACGCUGAGGUGCGAAAGCGUGGGGAGCAAACAGGAUUAGAUACCCCGGUAGUCCCUGUCUCUUAUAC
rnacentral:rRNA from 1 species